rnacentral:rRNA from 1 species
CAGCAGCCGCGGUAAUACCGGCGGCCCGAGUGGCGGUCACUAUUAUUGGGCUUAAAGCGUCCGUAGCCGGGUUGGGAAGUCCUCCGGGAAAUCUGGCCGCUUAACGGUCAGAAUGCCGGAGGAUACUCCCAGCCUAGGGAGCGGGAGAGGCCGAGGGUAUUCCCGGAGUAGGGGUGAAAUCCUAUAAUCCCGGGAGGACCACCUGUGGCGACGGCGCUCGGCUGGAACGCGUCCGACGGUGAGGGACGAAGGCCAGGGGAGCAAACCGGAUUAGAUACCCGGGUAGUCCUGGCUGUAAACGAUGCGGACUUUGUGUCGGACAAGCUAUGAGCUUGUCCGGUGCCGGAGGGAAAUCGUUAAGUCCGCCGCCUGGGGAGUACGGCCGCAAGGCUGAAACUUAAAGGAAUUGGCGGG